GGUUAAGCGACUAAGCGUACACGGUGGAUGCCCUGGCAGUCAGAGGCGAUGAAGGGCGUGCUAAUCUGCGAUAAGCGCCGGUAAGGUGAUAUGAACCGUUAUAACCGGCGAUACCCGAAUGGGGAAACCCAGUGUGAUUCGUCACACUAUCAUUAACUGAAUCCAUAGGUUAAUGAGGCGAACCGGGGGAACUGAAACAUCUAAGUACCCCGAGGAAAAGAAAUCAACCGAGAUUCCCCCAGUAGCGGCGAGCGAACGGGGAGGAGCCCAGAGCCUGAAUCAGCAUGUGUGUUAGUGGAAGCGUCUGGAAAGGCGCGCGAUACAGGGUGACAGCCCCGUACACAAAAGCGCAUAUGCUGUGAGCUCGAUGAGUAGGGCGGGACACGUGGUAUCCUGUCUGAAUAUGGGGGGACCAUCCUCCAAGGCUAAAUACUCCUGACUGACCGAUAGUGAACCAGUACCGUGAGGGAAAGGCGAAAAGAACCCCGGCGAGGGGAGUGAAAAAGAACCUGAAACCGUGUACGUACAAGCAGUGGGAGCCCCACCACUAAGCCAGUGGUGAACUCCACAUACGCAUCCUUUGCUGAGGAGACGGUUAACGGAGCGAAAGCGACGUUCAACCUCAAAAGAAGCAGAGGGGGCUUAGUGGUGGGGUGACUGCGUACCUUUUGUAUAAUGGGUCAGCGACUUAUAUUCUGUAGCAAGGUUAACUGUAUAGGGGAGCCGGAGGGAAACCGAGUCUUAACCGGGCGUUAAGUUGCAGGGUAUAGACCCGAAACCCGGUGAUCUAGCCAUGGGCAGGUUGAAGGUUGGGUAACACUAACUGGAGGACCGAACCGACUAAUGUUGAAAAAUUAGCGGAUGACCUGUGGCUGGGGGUGAAAGGCCAAUCAAACCGGGAGAUAGCUGGUUCUCCCCGAAAGCUAUUUAGGUAGCGCCUCGUGAAUUCAUCUCCGGGGGUAGAGCACUGUUUCGGCUAGGGGGCCAUCCCGGCUUACCAACCCGAUGCAAACUGCGAAUACCGGAGAAUGUUAUCACGGGAGACACACGGCGGGUGCUAAUGUCCGUCGUGAAGAGGGAAACAACCCAGACCGCCAGCUAAGGUCCCAAAGUCAUGGUUAAGUGGGAAACGAUGUGGGAAGGCCCAGACAGCCAGGAUGUUGGCUUAGAAGCAGCCAUCAUUUAAAGAAAGCGUAAUAGCUCACUGGUCGAGUCGGCCUGCGCGGAAGAUGUAACGGGGCUAAACCAUGCACCGAAGCUGCGGCAGCGACACUGUGUGUUGUUGGGUAGGGGAGCGUUCUGUAAGCCUGUGAAGGUGUGCUGUGAGGCAUGCUGGAGGUAUCAGAAGUGCGAAUGCUGACAUAAGUAACGAUAAAGCGGGUGAAAAGCCCGCUCGCCGGAAGACCAAGGGUUCCUGUCCAACGUUAAUCGGGGCAGGGUGAGUCGACCCCUAAGGCGAGGCCGAAAGGCGUAGUCGAUGGGAAACGGGUUAAUAUUCCCGUACUUGGUGUUACUGCGAAGGGGGGACGGAGAAGGCUAUGUUGGCCGGGCGACGGUUGUCCCGGUUUAAGCGUGUAGGUAUGUGUUCCAGGUAAAUCCGGUUCACUUUAACACUGAGGCGUGACGACGAGGCACUACGGUGCUGAAGCAACAAAUGCCCUGCUUCCAGGAAAAGCCUCUAAGCAUCAGGUAACAUCAAAUCGUACCCCAAACCGACACAGGUGGUCAGGUAGAGAAUACCAAGGCGCUUGAGAGAACUCGGGUGAAGGAACUAGGCAAAAUGGUGCCGUAACUUCGGGAGAAGGCACGCUGACACGUAGGUGAAGUGAUUUACUCACGGAGCUGAAGUCAGCCGAAGAUACCAGCUGGCUGCAACUGUUUAUUAAAAACACAGCACUGUGCAAACACGAAAGUGGACGUAUACGGUGUGACGCCUGCCCGGUGCCGGAAGGUUAAUUGAUGGGGUCAGCGCAAGCGAAGCUCCUGAUCGAAGCCCCGGUAAACGGCGGCCGUAACUAUAACGGUCCUAAGGUAGCGAAAUUCCUUGUCGGGUAAGUUCCGACCUGCACGAAUGGCGUAAUGAUGGCCAGGCUGUCUCCACCCGAGACUCAGUGAAAUUGAACUCGCUGUGAAGAUGCAGUGUACCCGCGGCAAGACGGAAAGACCCCGUGAACCUUUACUAUAGCUUGACACUGAACAUUGAGCCUUGAUGUGUAGGAUAGGUGGGAGGCUU
rnacentral:rRNA from 1 species